rnacentral:lncRNA from 1 species
AUAUAGUAAUAUAUAUUAAAAUAAGAAUGCAAAUUUAAUCCCAAUUCCACUUUACCUCAUCCACAAUCCAAGGUAACAUCCAUUUAAACCUUUAACCUAGAUACUGAACUUAGAGCAUGAUCAAAGAAAGACCAGACUGGUAAGUAUCUUACAGAGGAUAAUAACAGAAGUUUAACAAUGAAAGUCAGCAAAUUCAGCAACCAAGAGCCUAACAGUACUUUAACUCAAGUUGAACACAAUAGAGAAUAAGCUAUAUGCCUUCAAUGAAUUUCGAGGAAACCAAGAUUCGAUUCACACUAUAGAGAAUAAGUUGUAAGUGUUUUCAACUUAUAUUUGCAUACAGUCAUGACAAAAGCAAAUAGAAAACCUCAAACAUCCUUAUAAUGAGAGCGAAUUCAAUCGUAAACCAACACACUUUUCAGUCUCUGCGCUCCAAUUGUUAAGUUCAAAACCAGAUAAAGGAAAACAGACUCAUGAACAUAACAGGAAACGAAUUAUGUCACUUUGAUCAAAACAUGAACUAUUGGAUACUUAAAAGGGAGUUAGAACUUUUUAUACAAAAAAUUCUACGAAUGAGAGUAUUAGGACUGGAUCCUUCAUAUCAAACUAACCAGAUCUGAGCAAAAAUGGGCCACAAAAUAUGUAGAUUAUCCAGACCUGUAGCAAUGCAUGACAACUUUUUAAGCAUUGAAACACAGGACAACUAACGGAUCCUACCAACAUGGUGAGUCAACAAAAUGAGUUUUGUUCAUGAGUAGUCCAUGCGUAAAUUCACUGAGAGAAACUUGUCCAAAACAGAAAUCACCAUUGAAAAUAGUGUUGGACAAUAACCGUGACAUUGUAACAACUAUGUAAAAGGUUAUAAGCCUAACCCAAUCACCAUACUCGACUUAGAUAAUCCACUUUCAGGCAUGAGCAAAACUAGCAAACUGAUUUCAGCAAACAGCUAAAUAUGCAUUUUAAGCCUAAUUCCAGCAGGGUGAUAGCUGCAUGCAAUGGUGCCAAUCUUAGCUAGAAAUGCAGUAGAUCAUUGGAACUAAGGGUACAUAAACAGUUAUUUCAAAUGUCCAGAAAGUCAUACGUUCCUAACGUUAGGGCAUGAAAGAAAACUAUGCAUAAUUCGACUGAUUUGCGACCAAUACACAAACCAACAUGAAAACUUCACGAACACAUGAGCCAUUUAAGCUCAGUCAACCAGAAAACAACCUAAUUUUGACGGCCUACGAUAAAGAAAACAAGCAGAGUUAACCUUCAAACCUUUUGGAAAUCAACCCCUAAACGUUUACUCACAGAAAAGAAAGCAAAGCAAUUAUAGCCAGGCACUGAAAGAAGAGGCAGACGAACACACAAUUACAUGUUUCGAUGGAUUUUGAAACUAGAAAACCAUAUGGACAUUAAUAAGCACACAUAUGAAGUCAUAGAAAAGGCUAAAAUCUCAUUUACUACUUUAAACUUCAGUCCAUUUUAUAGCUCGUUCAGAGAUCAACUUACAACGGGAACUAAAGUGAAGAAAAGAAAAACCUGGAAUUAAGAGAUUGAACUAGAACCAACACUGAAAUCGACCAAGAAAAAGCAAAUAGCAGCAGAAAACCAACUUUUGAGCAAUAGCAACAUCAAACUUCUCAAAUGACUGCCAUUUUUAAACCAAAAUCCAGAGUCGAAUUGAAACAAAAGAAUAUUAUUCGAGAUGCUAAAUAAAACUGAUAUCCAUUGAAAUUAUGAAACCUCU